GAUGUAGCUCAGUGGUAGAGCACUUGCCUAACAUGCACGAGGUCCUGGGUUCAAUCCCCAGUAACAUCU